rnacentral:rRNA from 1 species
GACAGAGGGUGCGAACGUUGUUCGGAAUUACUGGGCGUAAAGCGCGUGUAGGCUGUUCGGAAAGUCGGGUGUGAAAGCCCUGGGCUCAACCUAGGAAGUGCACUCGAAACUCCCGAACCGGAGUCCCGGAGAGGAAGGCGGAAUUCUCGGUGUAGAGGUGAAAUUCGUAGAUAUCGAGAGGAACAUCGGUGGCGAAGGCGGCCUUCUGGACGGUGACUGACGCUGAGACGCGAAAGCGUGGGGAGCAAACAGG